UGAUCCUGGCUCAGAUUGAACGCUGGCGGCAGGCUUAACACAUGCAAGUCGAGCGGAGAGAGGUAGCUUGCUACUGAUCUUAGCGGCGGACGGGUGAGUAAUGCUUAGGAAUCUGCCUAUUAGUGGGGGACAACAUCUCGAAAGGGAUGCUAAUACCGCAUACGUCCUACGGGAGAAAGCAGGGGAUCUUCGGACCUUGCGCUAAUAGAUGAGCCUAAGUCGGAUUAGCUAGUUGGUGGGGUAAAGGCCUACCAAGGCGACGAUCUGUAGCGGGUCUGAGAGGAUGAUCCGCCACACUGGGACUGAGACACGGCCCAGACUCCUACGGGAGGCAGCAGUGGGGAAUAUUGGACAAUGGGGGGAACCCUGAUCCAGCCAUGCCGCGUGUGUGAAGAAGGCCUUAUGGUUGUAAAGCACUUUAAGCGAGGAGGAGGCUACUUUAGUUAAUACCUAGAGAUAGUGGACGUUACUCGCAGAAUAAGCNCC
rnacentral:rRNA from 1 species